rnacentral:lncRNA from 1 species
UUUAAUCCAUUUGUUUUAUUUAAUUCAUACAAAUUUCAUUUUUUAUCCAAAAAAUAUGGGACUUUCACCAAAAUCUUGUAAUAUUUUCCUCUUUCAUAUUUUGAAUUAAAAUCUUUUUUUGGAUUGAUUUUUAUAUUUUUCAUGAAUUAAAUGAAUUUUGACUUGUUUUUAAAUAUUUUAAAAAACUUCUGACUUUCCGAAAAUUAUGAAUUUUUUGUCUAAGGUCCUUUGAC